rnacentral:rRNA from 1 species
GGCCUACCAUGGUGGUAACGGGUAACGGGGUGUUAGGGCACGACACCGGAGAGGGAGCCUGAGAAACGGCUACCACAUCCAAGGAAGGCAGCAGGCGCGCAAAUUACCCAAUCCCGACACGGGGAGGUAGUGACAAUAAAUAACAAUACAGGGUUCUUUUGGAUCUUGUAAUUGGAAUGAGUACAAUUUAAAUCUCUUAACGAGGAACAAUUGGAGGGCAAGUCUGGUGCCAGCAGCCGCGGUAAUUCCAGCUCCAAUAGCGUAUAUUAAAGUUGUUGCAGUUAAAAAGCUCGUAGUUGAAUUUCGGGAUCAAUAUUUCGGUCAUGCCGUUAGUAUGCACUGUUAUCAUUGAUUUCUCACCUUCUAAAGAACCGUAAUGCCAUUAAUUUGGUGUUACGGGGAAUUAGGACUGUUACCUUGAAAAAAUUAGAGUGUUUAAAGCAGGCUCACGCUUGAAUACAUUAGCAUGGAAUAAUGAAAUAGGACAUCCGAUUCUAUUUUGUUGGUUUCUAGGAUCGAUGUAAUGAUUAAUAGGGAUAGUUGGGGGCAUUAGUAUUCAAUUGUCAGAGGUGAAAUUCUUGGAUUUAUUGAAGACUAACUACUGCGAAAGCAUUUGCCAAGGAUGUUUUCAUUAAUCAAGAACGAAAGUUAGGGGAUCGAAGACGAUCAGAUACCGUCGUAGUCUUAACCAUAAACUAUGCCGACUAGGGAUCGGAUGAUGUUAAUUUUUUAAUGACUCAUUCGGCGCCUUACG